CUCUCUACUACUCUCCCUGAAACUCUCUACUGCUCAAUCUUCUGAAACGUAACUCCCCAUCCUUCAAACGCUAACUCGAUUUCAGAAAUAUUCUCUCUUUCUCUUCUAAGUUCUUAGUAAAACAGCUCUUAUCUUCUCUAAUUGAAAUCGAAGACCUAAAGGAGAGAAAUUAGGGCUUUUCAAUUUCUGUCUGGUUUAUAAGGAUUUAAAGAAAAAGGAGGAGCUGCAGGCUAAGGAGGCCGAACUGAAUAAAAGUGAACGGAUUGCAAGGAUAAAACAAAAGAAAAAGGAUACAAGGAUCAAUUGCCCUGGAACAUUAAGCUUUCCACAGAUGAUUCUGGAAAACACAAAGGAGAUGGAGUUCUGUCAUAUGAAGAUCCAUCUGAUGCACAAGCAGCUGGAGGGUUUUACAACAAUUAAGAUUUGCGGGGAUAUGAAAUCAGUGAUACAAUGGUAGCUAGAUCUGCACCUAGAGUUGCACUUGCUUUUGGACAGGGGAAACAAAUAGGAAUAUGCACCAUGUACUUGGAUCGUCCAAUUAGUCCUGGUUGCUAGCAAAGGAUUGAGUGUUCAUUGAUAUCCCCAAAAUUUAUUUAGAAACCCUGUUUUCAGGUUCAUUGCUUCCAUGCAUUGCGAAUGAGUGAGCUUCCAUUUGUGCCUUCUGCAGUUUCUUCAAGCAAGGACUUUCUUCAUCGUGGUAGAUUGAAGUCGUUUCAAUGAUGAAUAAAAGAUUAGGUUCUUUGGCCAAGGGACUCCUGAGUACCAGGAUGCAUUUAUGAAUUUCAUAGGUAUAGACCAUAUGAUCAAUGGGAAACUUGGAAAUCCUGAAAUCAUCAGUUGUCCUUGUAUUGACUGUGAGAAUCUUGUUGUGCGAAUUCCUGGGAACAAAGUGUUUUGUCACUUGCAACGGAUGGAUCCUACUUGCAUCUAAUGGAUAUUUCAUGGGGAGCCGGCUAGCUGCUAGCACUUCUAAUUAUGUUCACCAAGAGAGAGCAACACCUAAUUAUCUUCACGAAGAGAGAGCAGCACCUAGUGUAUAUCAGGUGGAUAUUUCAUGUUGAAGAUCAGGUUCAUGAUGGGGAGUUGGCCAAGCUGGUGGAAGACAUUGACACCCGGUUAUUCCCAGAUUGUAUAGUGCAUGCAGUUGACUAUCACUAUUGAAUUAUAUAAGCACCAGACCGUAAGUGGUUCAUUAUGAAAAGCUUUUGAUGAACUUCUUUCUAAGGCAAAUUGUUGGAUGUUAACUUUCUUUUAGGUCUGACAUUUGUUAAUUUGAAGUCAUGUUAUUUAUAACCUUGGACAAUAUGUGUCACAAUCUUAACGGUGAAGAGGGGAAUAAUUCUAGCAUUGGUAUUGGUAGUGGGUGAAGAUGUGAGUGAUCAAAAGUUGGGAUUAAUUGUCCUAUAUUUGGACUAUAUUUGGACUAUGUUAGUUGUCCACGUAAUAGACUUUUCCAUUUAUAACACCCUUUUUACUUCUGUAUGAACUCAUUGUUAGGUACUUUAUUAUAUUAUUCAAGUUAGCACUUA